UCCCACAAAGAAGAGGGCUAACCUUCAAAUUUGAACUACUUAUUGAAACAUCCAGCGCUUUUCUUUGUUCCAAAAACUGUAUAUAAGCCCAAGUCCGAAAACUCCAAAUCAUACUUUUCCAGUCUCAAGCUAGAAAAGAGCCUUCAACAUGCAAACCCUCUUUGUUCUCCUUGUCUUGGUUGCCUUGGUGGUGUGCACUCUUGCACAGUGGCCUUACUAUGGUGGCUACUACGCUGGCUACAAUGGCUACGCUGCAGCCCAUCCCUAUGCCUACAACUACUACGGAGCCUACAACCCAGCCCUCAGCUACUUGUGGAAGAAAUGAAUAAACUAACUUAAAGAUGUAACUGGAUGAAAACCCCGGAAUGAUGUUCUAUCAGAAAAAGAUUGAUUUCGCUCAAUAGUUAACGGAUAAAUUUAAUAUUGAAACAUUUUGGAACAACUUCAACUAAUGUUUAAGCUAAGAACAAUAAAGGAGAAUUUUAAUUGA